rnacentral:rRNA from 1 species
UCGGCAUUGGAUGAGAACAAUCAAAAUCCUUUAUCGAGGAUCGAUUGGAGGGCAAGUUCUGGUGCCAGCAGCCGCGGUAAUUCCAGCUCGAAUAGCGUAUGUUAAAUUUGCUGCGGUUAAAAAGCUCGUAGUUGGGUGUCAGAAGCUGAACUGGGCGCUGCCAUGCCAUUGUGUAUGUGUAGCAUUGCUCUAGUUUCACUUCUUAAAUGUCACCGUUCCUGCGUCGCGGAAGCCCAAUUGGUUUUGGGUGGCGCAUAAAGGAAGGUGUACAAAACUACUUUGAGAAAAUUAGCGUGCUUAACGCAGGCGCUCUUGCUUGUAUACUGUUGCAUGGAAUAAUGAGAUAGGACCUCGGUUCUGUUUCGUUGGUUUCCGGAAGCCGAGGUAAUGAUUGAUAGGGACAAACGGGGGCAUUCGUAUUGUGGUGUUAGAGGUGAAAUUCGAUGAUCACCGCAAGACGAACAACUGCGAAAGCAUUUGCCAAGAAUGUUUUCAUUAAUCAAGAACGAAAGUUAGAGUUUCGAAGACGAUUAGAUACCGUCCUAGUUCUAACUAUAAACUAUGCCAACUGGGCAUCUGGCGCUUGCAAGUAAGCAUCGCCAGGCACCCCGCGGGAAACCAAAGUUAUUGGGUUCCGGGGGGAGUAUGGUUGCAAAAUCGAAACUUAAAGGAAUUGACGGAGGGGCACACCAGAAGUGGAGCCUGCGGCUCAAUUUGACUCAACGCACGAAAACUUACUCGGUCCGAACACCGUGAGGAUUGACAGGUUGACAGCUCUUUCUUGAUUCGGUGGGUGGUGGUGCAUGGCCGUUCGUAGUUGGUGGAGUGAUUUGUCUGGUUUAUUCCGAUAACGAACGAGACUCUAGCCUAUUAAUUAGUAAGGCGGGCACGCCUUCAAAAUAUUGUUGACUGGUAACGCCGCUCAUAUACUUCUUAGAGGGACAAGUGUCGUGAGGCACUCGAAGUUGAGCAAUAACAGGUCUGUGAUGCCCUUAGAUGUUCGGGGCUGCACGCGCGCUACAAUGGAGGCUGCAAAGCGCAUUCCUGUUUCGAAAGAAAUGGGGAAUCAAAAAUAGCCUUCACGAUUGGGAUCGGAGAUUGUAAUUAUUCUUCGUGAAAGAGGAAUUCCUAGUAAACGCGAAUCAUUAUUUCGCGUUGACUAAGUCCCUGCCCUUUGUACACACCGCCCGUCGCUACUACCGAUCGAAUGGUUUAGUGAGGUUUUCGGAUGGGUUGCAUGGAGCCACAAGCUCCACUGCAUACUUCAAAAGUUGACCGAACUAACCAUUUAGAGA